rnacentral:tRNA from 1 species
AAAUAAGAAGUGAAAAAUCACAAUCAGUUUCGACCUGAAAAAAAUGGUAUUUAUAUACCCUUAUUUA